GCGGAGGAAAAGAAACCAACAGGGAUUGCCCUAGUAACGGCGAGUGAAGCGGCAUCAGCUCAAAUUUGAAAUCUGGCUCUUUCAGAGUCCGAGUUGUAAUUUGCAGAGGGCGCUUUGGUGUCGGCAGCGGUCCAAGUUCCUUGGAACAGGACGUCACAGAGGGUGAGAAUCCCGUACGUGGUCGCUGACCUACACCGUGUAAAGCCCCUUCGACGAGUCGAGUUGUUUGGGAAUGCAGCUCUAAAUGGGAGGUAAAUUUCUUCUAAAGCUAAAUACUGGCCAGAGACCGAUAGCGCACAAGUAGAGUGAUCGAAAGAUGAAAAGCACUUUGGAAAGAGAGUUAAACAGCACGUGAAAUUGUUGAAAGGGAAGCGCUUGCAGCCAGACUUGCUUGCAGUUGCUCAUCCGGGCUUUUGCCCGGUGCACUCUUCUGCGAGCAGGCCAGCAUCAGUUUGGACGGUUGGAUAAAGGCCUCUGUCACGUACCUUCUCUCGGGAAGGCCUUAUAGGGGAGGCGUCAUGCAACCAGUCUGGACUGAGGUCCGCGCAUCUGCUAGGAUGCUGGCGUAAUGGCUGUAAGCGGCCCGUCUUGAAACACGGACCAAGGAGUCUAACAUCUAUGCGAGUGUUUGGGUGUCAAGCCCGAGCGCGUAAUGAAAGUGAACGGAGGUGGGAUCCCGUAAGGGUGCACCAUCGACCGAUCCUGAUGUCUUCGGAUGGAUUUGAGUAAGAGCAUGGCUGUUGGGACCCGAAAGAUGGUGAACUAUGCUUGAAUAGGGUGAAGCCAGAGGAAACUCUGGUGGAGGCUCGCAGCGGUUCUGACGUGCAAAUCGAUCGUC
rnacentral:sRNA from 1 species